rnacentral:rRNA from 1 species
CCUACGGGAGGCAGCAGUGGGGAAUAUUGCACAAUGGGCGAAAGCCUGAUGCAGCGACGCCGCGUGAGGGAUGACGGCCUUCGGGUUGUAAACCUCUUUCAGCAGGGAAGAAGCGAAAGUGACGGUACCUGCAGAAGAAGCGCCGGCUAACUACGUGCCAGCAGCCGCGGUAAUACGUAGGGCGCAAGCGUUGUCCGGAAUUAUUGGGCGUAAAGAGCUCGUAGGCGGCUUGUCACGUCGGGUGUGAAAGCCCGGGGCUUAACCCCGGGUCUGCAUUCGAUACGGGCUAGCUAGAGUGUGGUAGGGGAGAUCGGAAUUCCUGGUGUAGCGGUGAAAUGCGCAGAUAUCAGGAGGAACACCGGUGGCGAAGGCGGAUCUCUGGGGCCAUUACUGACGCUGAGGAGCGAAAGCGUGGGGAGCGAACAGGAUUAGAUACCCUGGUAGUCCACGCCGUAAACGGUGGGAACUAGGUGUUGGCGACAUUCCACGUCGUCGGUGCCGCAGCUAACGCAUAAGUNUCCGCCUGGGAGUACGGCCGCAAGGCUAAACUCAAAGGAAUUGACGGCNGAGAGUUGCGAGCGCACGAGGGAGAGG